rnacentral:rRNA from 1 species
GCGUGCCUAAUACAUGCAAGUCGAGCGGACUUAAAAAGCUUGCUUUUUAAGUUAGCGGCGGACGGGUGAGUAACACGUGGGCAACCUGCCUGUAAGACUGGGAUAACUUCGGGAAACCGGAGCUAAUACCGGAUAAUCCUUUUCUACUCAUGUAGAAAAGCUGAAAGACGGUUUACGCUGUCACUUACAGAUGGGCCCGCGGCGCAUUAGCUAGUUGGUGAGGUAACGGCUCACCAAGGCGACGAUGCGUAGCCGACCUGAGAGGGUGAUCGGCCACACUGGGACUGAGACACGGCCCAGACUCCUACGGGAGGCAGCAGUAGGGAAUCUUCCGCAAUGGACGAAAGUCUGACGGAGCAACGCCGCGUGAGUGAUGAAGGUUUUCGGAUCGUAAAACUCUGUUGUUAGGGAAGAACAAGUACGGGAGUAACUGCUCGUACCUUGACGGUACCUAACCAGAAAGCCACGGCUAACUACGUGCCAGCAGCCGCGGUAAUACGUAGGUGGCAAGCGUUGUCCGGAAUUAUUGGGCGUAAAGCGCGCGCAGGCGGUCCUUUAAGUCUGAUGUGAAAGCCCACGGCUCACCGUGGAUGGUCAUUGGAAACUGGGGGACUUGAGUGC